rnacentral:snoRNA from 1 species
AUUCUGUGAUGAGGGCACUUCUGUAUUAUUUCUUUGUAUAUUUCUCAUGCCUCAUACAAUGACUCAUCAUCCAUUUGUUGGAAAUGAGUGAUCUCAUUCCUCAACUU